rnacentral:rRNA from 1 species
CUUAAUGAGACUGCCGGUGACAAACCGGAGAAGUGGGGAUGACGUCAAGUCCUCAUGGCCCUUAUGGGUAGGGCUUCACACGUCAUACAAUGGUCGGUACAGAGGGUUGCCAAGCCGCGAGGCGGAGCCAAUCCCACAAAGCCGAUCGUAGUCCGGAUUGUUCUCUGCAACUCGAGAGCAUGAAGUCGGAAUCGCUAGUAAUCGCAGGUCAGCAUACUGCGGUGAAUACGUUCCCGGGUCUU